UACAGAGGUCUCAAGCGUUGUUCGGAUUCAUUGGGCGUAAAGGGUGCGUAGGCGGCUCGGCACGUCCGUUGUGAAAUCGCCCGGCUCAACUGGGCGGGGUCGGCGGAUACGGCCGAGCUGGAGCAAGCUAGGGGGUAAUGGAAUUCCCGGUGUAGUGGUGGAAUGCGUAGAUAUCGGGAGGAACACCAGUGGCGAAGGCGGUUACCUGGAGCUUUGCUGACGCUGAUGCGCGAAAGCGUGGGGAGCGAUCCGG
rnacentral:rRNA from 1 species